rnacentral:rRNA from 1 species
AACUCACCAGGUCAGGACACGGUAAGGAUUGACGGACUGAAGGCUCUUUCUCGAUUCCGUGGAAAGUGGUGCAUGGCCGUUUUUGGUUGGUGGAUCGAUCCGUCUGGUUAAUUCCGUUAACGAACGAGACCUCGGCACUCCGAAUAGCGCGGCGGACGUCGCGGCCUCCGGGCCGUCUUCCGCACGAGCUUCUUAGAGGGACCGUCCCCCGCCGGGGAAGGAGGUUCGAGGCAACGACAGGUCUGUGAUGCCCUUAGAUGUUCUGGGCCGCACGCGCAUUACACUGACGCGUCCAACGGGUGACUCCCGACCCGAAGGGGCCGGGGAAUCCGCAAGGCGCGUCGUGAUGGGGAUUGAACGUUGCAAUUGUUGUUCACGAACGAGGAAUUCCUAGUAGGCGCGGGUCAUCAACCCGCGCCGAUUACGUCCCUGCCCUUUGUACACACC